rnacentral:rRNA from 1 species
UAUGCCUACGGGGGGCAGCAGUGGGGAAUAUUGCACAAUGGGGGAAACCCUGAUGCAGCAACGCCGCGUGAGCGAUGACGGCCGUCGGGUUGUAAAGGUCUGUCUUCAGGGACGAUAAUGACGGUACCUGAGGAGGAAGCCACGGCUAACUACGUGCCAGCAGCCGCGGUAAUACGUAGGUGGCGAGCGUUGUCCGGAUUUACUGGGCGUAAAGGGAGCGUAGGCGGGCUUUUAAGUGAGAUGUGAAAUACUCGGGCUCAACUUGAGUGCUGCAUUUCAAACUGGAAG